AUGAACGCUGGCGGCGUGCCUAAUACAUGCAAGUCGAGCGAACGGACGAGAAGCUUGCUUCUCUGAUGUUAGCGGCGGACGGGUGAGUAACACGUGGAUAACCUACCUAUAAGACUGGGAUAACUUCGGGAAACCGGAGCUAAUACCGGAUAAUAUUUUGAACCGCAUGGUUCAAAAGUGAAAGACGGUCUUGCUGUCACUUAUAGAUGGAUCCGCGCUGCAUUAGCUAGUUGGUAAGGUAACGGCUUACCAAGGCAACGAUGCAUAGCCGACCUGAGAGGGUGAUCGGCCACACUGGAACUGAGACACGGUCCAGACUCCUACGGGAGGCAGCAGUAGGGAAUCUUCCGCAAUGGGCGAAAGCCUGACGGAGCAACGCCGCGUGAGUGAUGAAGGUCUUCGGAUCGUAAAACUCUGUUAUUAGGGAAGAACGUAUGUGUAAGUAACUGUGCACAUCUUGACGGUACCUAAUCAGAAAGCCACGGCUAACUACGUG
rnacentral:rRNA from 1 species